AGCAGCCGCGGUAAUUCCAGCUCCAAUAGCGUAUAUUAAAGUUGUUGCAGUUAAAAAGCUCGUAGUUGAACUUCGGGAUCAAUUGAUAUGGUCAUGCCUUGGUAUGUACUGUUCAUAUUGGUUCUCACCUUCUAAUGAACCAUAAUGUCAUUUAUUUGAUGUUAUGGGGAAUUAGGACUGUUACCUUGAAAAAAUUAGAGUGUUUAAGGCAGGCUCACGCUUGAAUACAUUAGCAUGGAAUAAUGAAAUAGGACAUCGCAUUCUAUUUUGUUGGUUUCUAGGAUCGAUGUAAUGAUUAAUAGGGAUAGUUGGGGGCAUUAGUAUUCAAUUGUCAGAGGUGAAAUUCUUGGAUUUAUUGAAGACUAACUACUGCGAAAGCAUUUGCCAAGGAUGUUUUCAUUAAUCAAGAACGAAAGUUAGGGGAUCGAAGGCGAUCAGAUACCGCCCUAGUUCAGACCGUAAACGAUGCCAACUAGCGAUCCGAGGGCGUUAAUUU
rnacentral:rRNA from 1 species